rnacentral:misc_RNA from 1 species
GAUGAAGAACGUAGCGAAAUGCGAUAAGUAAUGUGAAUUGCAGAAUUCAGUGAAUCAUCGAAUCUUUGAACGCACCUUGCACCCUUUGGCAUUCCGAAGGGUAUGCUCGUUUGAGUGUCAUUGUACUCUCACACUCUCCGAUCCUAUGGAUUCGGGGAGCGGUGGACUUGGGUGUUGCUGCCUUUCCUUGUGGCUCACCUCAAAUGUGUCAGUGCACCUCUUGGUUGGACAUAGUACGGCGUGAUAAGUGUCUUCGCCGGCACCUCGCAAGAGGGUGGCCGAUCGGGAGCUCUGUGCUUUCAAACCGUCUUCGGACAAUUUCUGACAACUUGACCUCAAAUCGAGUAGGACUACCCGCUGAACUUAAGCAUAUCCAAUAAGCGGAGGA